rnacentral:lncRNA from 1 species
CUGGCUGGGGAGGGACUCCGGCGGAACCUCAGCACAAGUUUCCGGGACUAGGCCGCCCCCUCCCCCAGUCCCCUGGGCUCUGGGUCUGGCACCUGAUGAGCUGGGCCCGGCGAAAUCUCUAUGGACAUUUGGUCAUCGUGAGCCCGGCAGGUGCAGGUCAGCGCCUUCAGGACGACAGUAGGGAGAGCAGGUCAGCGCCUCCGCUGUGGAGUCCCCCUGAGCCCCUCCUCGCCAGGGCAGGCAGCAGGAUGCGGAAACCUGACUCCGGCCUUGGCCUGGCAUGGCAGCCGACAGCAUAGCCAUCUGGGCUGUGGAAGUCACGGCAGAGAUGUCCUGUCUGAGCGACUGCGUCACCCAAUAGGACUGCGAUGGCGGCGAGCUCAGGAUCCCGGAAGGGCACAGGUGCCAAAGGCCUAUUUUGAGAAUCUUUGUUUCCAGCGAAGAUUCCAGGGGACGCAGCCGCAGCCUGGGGCGGCUGCUGGUGGCCUUCUGCCUGGACGGCGGGAGUGCUGCUUGUGUUCUGAGCUAUCUGCAAUGCAGGGCUGGCUGUGGUCUGUCUCUGCGUAGAAGAACGAGGCCAGCAGAAACCCAGAACUUCAGGCCUCCAUGCCAGCUCCAGGGCUCGGCUCGCUGGGUGUGGCCUGGCCACCUGCUCACGGCGCUCAGGGGAGGCUGAGCCCUGGUACUGCUGAAGAAUCACUAACUAGAUCAGAAGAAAGCAGAAACGAGAUGGGUGUGCCUCUAUCUGGGCCACUCACGGUAACCUAGGAGCCGAACAGGCCAUGUCUGAUAGGUGAAACAAUCUGUGAAACCCUGUCUGGUGACGUACCCCGUGUAAAUCCGAGAACCCAGCGACGCACCUCGCC